rnacentral:misc_RNA from 1 species
GAUGAAGAACGUAGCGAAAUGCGAUAAGUAAUGUGAAUUGCAGAAUUCAGUGAAUCAUCGAAUCUUUGAACGCACAUUGCGCCCGCCAGUAUUCUGGCGGGCAUGCCUGUUCGAGCGUCAUUUCAACCAUCAAGCCCCCGGCUUGUGUUGGGGACCUGCGGCUGCCGCAGGCCCUGAAAAGCAGUGGCGGGCUCGCUGUCACACCGAGCGUAGUAGCAUACAUCUCGCUCUGGGCGUGCUGCGGGUUCCGGCCGUUAAACCACCUUCAUAACCCAAGGUUGACCUCGGAUCAGGUAGGAAGACCCGCUGAACUUAAGCAUAUCAAUGCGGAGGA